rnacentral:lncRNA from 1 species
CAGGGAGUUUUUGGAGUUUGAGUGUUUGGUGUGGAGGGUUCUGUCCUAACUAACUUUCUUGAUUCUGUCCUUGGUCUUUUCUUUUAAUUUUAUUUUCUAUGGUGGAGGGUUAAUGCAUUAUUUGUUUUAGCGGUAUCCACAGGUUUUUUUCAAAGUUAGGGUGGAAGAGGACAGAGUUCGUUUACUGGGGUUUGGAAGGUGUGGUGUGUGCGAUGGCUUCUCAGCCUAGCACGGAGGAGACGCUGUCGAUGCGGCAUGGAUUCAGGUGUGUUCCUGAGAAUGGAGUAAAAGUGGAGGAGGUUCUGCUUGCAGUCGGUGAACAGGCUGUGACAAUGAAAAGGCAGCAGACAAACCAACAGCAUGUUUUAGCAGGGAAGUUUGGUGAAGUGACCUUAUUUUUACAGUCUUGGCCCAUUGCUGCAACUCCCGUACAGACUCAGGAGAAGCGAAGGUCGAGAGCCAUGCGCCCUCCCGAAAACACGACCCUGCCAAGCCGCACUGCUUCUUGACACACUGCCUGCUUAACCCGGAAGCCAGACGCACCAAUGUGUCAGAGGAAACACCGUACAACUGGUGACCGCUGUCAGCUUGCAAGUACCUGGCCCACCACAAGGAGUCGCUAGAGAUCGAUGGGACAAGGACAUCCCGGCCGGCCAAACCCUCCCCUAACCCGGAGGACGAUGGACCAAUUGUGUGCCGCCUCAUGGAUCUCCCAGUCACGGCCAGCUGUGACACAGCCCGGAAUCAAACCCGGGUCUGUAGUGAUGCCUCAAGCACUGCGAUGCAGUGCCAGACUGCUGCACCACUCAGGAGACAAUGGGCUAAAAUAUAGGGUAACUGCUCUUCUUGUCAGCAAGAACACUACUGUUAUUCCCCAAACGUAUCUUAUUAUUCUACUUUUUCCCAAUUUUGCAAGUGUAAUCACAUAUUUGAAAUCUAAAAUGCCUACUUGUGUCUUUGAAAAUGAAUGAAAUGAGGCUACAGUUGAAGUCGGAAGUUUACAUACACCUUAGACAAAUACAUUUAAACUGUUUUUCACAAUUCCUGACAUUUAAUAGUACAAAUUACCUGUCUUAGGUCAGUUAGGAUAACCACUUUAUAUUAAGAAUGUGAAAUGUCAGAAUAAUGGUAGAGAGAAUGAUUUAUGUCAGCUUUUAUUUCUUU